UACGAAGGGGGCUAGCGUUGCUCGGAAUCACUGGGCGUAAAGCGCACGUAGGCGGGUCGUUAAGUCAGGGGUGAAAUCCUGGAGCUCAACUCCAGAACUGCCUUUGAUACUGGCGAUCUCGAGUUCGGGAGAGGUGAGUGGAACUGCGAGUGUAGAGGUGAAAUUCGUAGAUAUUCGCAAGAACACCAGUGGCGAAGGCGGCUCACUGGCCCGAUACUGACGCUGAGGUGCGAAAGCUAGGGGAGCAAACGGG
rnacentral:rRNA from 1 species